rnacentral:tRNA from 1 species
GUGGGCGUAGCUCAACGGUCAGAGUACUGGACUGUGGCUCCAGGUGUUGGGGGUUCGAGUCCCCUCGCCCACCCCA